rnacentral:rRNA from 1 species
AAACGAUUGAAGUCAGUCGUGACUGUUGGUUUCAGCCAGUUCUGCUGGUGCAUUACCAACAGUCGGGUCAACAUCAGUUUUGAGCGGUGGAAAAAGGUAGGGAGAACGUGGCACCUUCGGGUGUGUUAUAGCUCCUUAUUGCAUACACUGCUCGAGACUGAGGAAUGCAGCUCGCCUUUAUGGCCGGGGUUCGCCCACGUUCGAGCUUAGGAUGUUGACAUAAUGGCUUUAAACGA